GUUGUGUCUGACUCUUUGCGAGCCUUCCAGGCUACUCUGCCCUUGGGGAUUCCCCAGGCAAGAAUACAGGAGUGGGUAGCCUAUCCCUUCUCCAGGGGAUCUUCCUGACCUAGGAAUCAAACCAGGGUCUCUUGAGUUGCAGGCGGAUUCUUUACCAGCUGAGCUGCCACAUAAGCCCAAGUAUCCUGCCAGGAGGCUGCAAAGAUGGGACACAUUCUGGCCCUUUGGAGGCAUCUCUACCUGGGGAGGCGGGCUUGACAAAAAUUCCUCUCGCGGGUGGUUCCUGUUCUUUCAAAGGAGCAACGCAUCAUGCAAAUAAUUUUUUUUUCAGCUGUGACGUAUACAGCCCUGAGAACACGGAGCGACUUAGCACCAGGACAUCAUGCGUUCCUCCUGCGGUUUCCUGGGUGUAGGGAGGCGGCCUGGCGAGGCCCCCCUCUGGAAGGUCAGGGAUUGAUGUUCU
ensembl:lncRNA